CUGAUAGAGGCGCAGUCUAUCAAAAGUAAGCACCGUUUAUAACGCCAGCCAAGGCGGGCGCUGCCGAAAGGGAUAACUGCCGAGGACGCUCAAAGGCAAAGGAGUGAUCCGGCAUAGCGGUCAAUAUCCGCCUUGCUGUCGCACAAAGCUGCGGAGAGCUAUCGGA
rnacentral:ncRNA from 1 species